rnacentral:rRNA from 1 species
UACAGAGGUCUCGAGCGUUAGGCGGAAUCACUGGGCUUAAAGCGUGUGUAGGUGGAUCGUUAAGUACCUUGUGAAAUCCCACGGCUUAACCGUGGAACUGCUUGGUAUACUGGCGGUCUUGAGCCAGCUAGGGGCUACCGGAACAAAUGGUGGAGCGGUGAAAUGCGUAGAUAUCAUUUGGAACGCCAAUGGUGAAAACAGCUAGCUGGGAGUGUGCCGACGCUGAGACAAGAAAGCCAGGGGAGCGAACGGG